AGUACAAUGCUCCGGAUACCAUCUACUUUCGGCAAAGUUAAAAAGGACUUGUCUAUGGCAUUCCCUUAUAUGCACAUUGGAAACAAGGAGUUCCAUUGGUGUUCAUUUGGUAGAGCUGAAAGGUACAGGAGAAUUAUUUGCAAUGAAAGCAAUGGAUAAAGAUGUGAUGUUGAAUCGUAAUAAGGUUUAUUAAUUUAAGAAACAUGCCUGUUUUGCUUACUCUCUUUUCUUCUUUUCUUCUAUCUUGUUUCAUUUUCUAUAAAAACAAAUUAAUAUCUUGUGUUGAGAUAACUUGGCUGCAAGUUAUCUAUUUCUUGUUACUCUGACGUUGUUGCAAACCUAUUGGGCUUUCCUUCGAAAAUUUGGUUUCUAUUGCUUGAUAGGUUUUGUCUUGUUCCUACCCUUUCAUGUUGCAGUUUUCGCUUUGUUAUAGAUUAGACUUUGAUAUUUCAUCCGUUCAUUCUCACUCUCUGUGUUUUUCUGUCUUAUGUCUAAAAUCUGUACAUACUUGAAUUUGAAAUCUCACAUAUGUGAUAAGUAUCACAAGGCGGGGUAUUUCAUCUCCCAAAAUGUUGCUUGUAUUUUAAGACUUUAAAGAUGAUGUUUGGUUUUUCCUAAUCUUGUGGGCAUUCAACAUUGCAUGUUGUUAAUCACUUAGGCCUCGUUCUUGGAUUUGAGAGACAUGAACUUUAUAUUUUAUGUUACUUAAGUGUAGCCUCUCUAGUAAGUUGCACCUUAUGAAACUUAAUAUGUGAUACCUCAUCUCUUUAAUGAAGUUGGGAAACCUUCACAAAUCCUACGUUACUCCGACACCCUAUUCAACCUCGCGUGUCGCGUGUCGACUCGACAUGACGCGCGACACGCCUGGAAAUGGGCGUCGAUACUCGUAUCGGAAAAGUGUCGGAAAUUGGACACCCAUUUGACAAAACUAAGAAAGAAACACAGAGAAAAGGGUGAAAAAUUACCUACUUUGUUGAAAUUGUAAACCCUAGAUCUGCUAAUUGAGGUCGAAUUACACGAAAUUUUCUCAUAAUUUGUUAGGGCUUUUACUCAGAAGAUCAAGUCGUGAUGGGCUAAUCAAAGAAGAACGUUUCGCACUUUGCACUUUCGCAGGCUGCCAUUGUUGCACAGUGAGAACUGAGAAGAGAAAGAAGAACGAAGGGUGGUAGAGAAAAAAGAGACUGAAAAUUGAAAUAAAAUACUCACGUGGAUUGUUAGCUUUAUACCACCCCUCUUUCUUUUCUUUUCUUUUUUUUUACUUUUUUACUGCCUUUACUAUUCCCUUUUGACUUUUCAACACUUUUGACUUUUCAACUCUUUUGACUUUUCAACUUCCAAUAUAUUUUUUUCUUUUUUCAAAUCAAAGACCAAGUAAACACAUUAUAGUACUAGUUCUUUUCUUUAUAAUUUUCUAAAUAUAUUAGUAUUGAUUUUAUUUUUAUUAAAAUAAAGUUUCGGAAAUUUUUUCCGACACUUUCAAUCAUUGACGUGUCUAGAAUAUUGGUCAAGACACUCUAUUGACCGUGUCGGAGUAUCGGCCUAAUUUUCGGAGUAGGGUGUCGGAUCCUCCGACCCCUACUUGGAUACGACACCCGUAUCCGUGUCGGAGUAACAUAGCACAAAUCACAAUAGCUGGUAGGAAACAGGUCAGAUUUUGGAUGUCUUUGUCCAGAAUAGCUUUGGGCCAACAUCUUAUUAUGUGGAGUGGUGGAAGCAUUAAGGUUUCCACAUCUUUAAGAGUCUGUUUCUUUGUGCAGUGUGCAAGCUGCAUAUUGGAGUUGGUAGUAUGGUUUAGACAUGUAUGAAGUCUUAGUUCUAAUCAGCAUCAUGGUCCGCGUCUUUAUGUUUCCUUAUUGAACUUUCAGAGACUCCAAAUUGUUGGCAGAUGUGUGUGUGUGCGCGUAUGUGAUACAUCUUUGCUUGAAUCUGUCCAGGAGGAGACAAAAUCAUGGAAAAAGUUGAUCACCAUCGCGGUUUCAGGAUCAACUAGGAUGGUAUCAAACCAUCUGUUGUUUAAAACAAUGUGGACAAACUUCGAGGCUUUAUCAAGCACGUGUAUGUGGGUAGGAGAUACAGUGGUGAAGAAGGCAGCAGACAGACCUCCAUGCAGAAAAUUGGUUAGAUGCUCUAAAUUGUAUACUUCUUAGGGUGACAAAGGAGAACUAAAUGAAAAUAGGAGAUCGGAUGCAUAUCAGAGUGGCUGUCUAAGCCCACCACUUUUUCUUAAUUUGCGUACGUAUUCAUACUUGAUUUAAACGCUCCAUUGAUCUAUUUCCUAGCCUAUUUACAUCCUCUUGCUAGGCCUUCACCAGCAUCCGUGAACUAAUGGCAACAAGCUUCUUGAUACAAAUCAUAGCAACUGCAUCAAUUUCCAGAAAUAGGGUGCUGCAGUGGAGCCUAAUAUCCAUCUUACGGGAAUAGGCUACAUCUCUGUUUUAAAAAGACUUCAAAGACACGUGGGAGCCCUACAAGUUAACAAGUUCUAAAUCAAAGUUGUUAACUUAACUAUUAGAAUUACGCUUCAUUUCACUUUUUAAUGUAUUAUGUUUCUAAAUGAAUUUAUCGUGUAA